rnacentral:tRNA from 11 species
GUCCCCGUAGCUCAGUGGAUAGAGCAACCGCCUCCUAAGCGGUAGGUCGCAGGUUCAACUCCCGCCGGGGACA